GACGAACGCUGGCGGCGUGCUUAACACAUGCAAGUCGAACGGUAAGGCCCCAGCUUGCUGGGGUACACGAGUGGCGAACGGGUGAGUAACACGUGGGUGACCUGCCCCGCACUUCGGGAUAAGCCUGGGAAACUGGGUCUAAUACCGGAUAGGACCGCACCGUGAGGGUGUGGUGGAAAGUUUUUCGGUGUGGGAUGGGCCCGCGGCCUAUCAGCUUGUUGGUGGGGUAAUGGCCUACCAAGGCGGCGACGGGUAGCCGGCCUGAGAGGGUGGACGGCCACAUUGGGACUGAGACACGGCCCAGACUCCUACGGGUGGCAGCAGUGGGGAAUAUUGCACAAUGGGCGGAAGCCUGAUGCAGCGACGCCGCGUGGGGGAUGACGGCCUUCGGGUUGUAAACUCCUUUCACCAUCGACGAAGGUUUUCUGACGGUAGAUGGAGAAGAAGCACCGGCUAACUACGUG
rnacentral:rRNA from 1 species